AUUAGGAUCGUUCCUCCUUAUAAUUCGUAGUGAGUUCGCUUAUCAGUAAUCAUUUAGUAUCCCCGAUUAGCCGUUUCGUUGAUGGAGUUAGCCCUGCGAUGGAGUGGACCCCGUUUUAAGAGUUGGUGUAGAGCAACGUUUCAUAAGCGCGCUCGUUAUAACGUGCAGUAGCAUACCGACGCUGAUUUUUGCGCAACGAGGGUCUAACAAACAAAAAAAUAAAAAAAUCAAGAAACGAGGUCCGGAGUUUAUUUUAUUUAGUUAUUACUAAUGAUAUUUCCUGGUGCUCGUUUGGGUAGUAAAAGAAAACACCAAAUUUAAGAGUUCUCAAUAGGGGUGUACGCAUUACCUUUAAGAUUGUGUUGAAGCAAACUCAUAUAUAUAUUAAAAAUAGUUCUACUCCUAACCCAUAUUAUAUAUUUUGAGUCCAUUGCGCGAACGGAGAUGACAUGCGCAGGCCCAGAUUUCUAGACGCUGACUGAGCCGUUCGUAGGUAACGAUGGCAUUGCGUCGAAAAACGUUUCUCAGAGGUUCAAUCUGAAGGUCUUUAUGUUAGGCAUCGUUGCGAACAAACCACGGAGCUCCCGUCUUAAGGUGUAGCAACUUGUUUUGUCUUACUUGAAGCGAAGAGACUAUUGCCGUAGACCCAAGCAGUUACGCGUACGUCAUAAUCGGUCGGAUGCACAACAAAUACAAGCGUCGUUUGUUGUGCAAGAGUUUGCUUCGAACCCAAAGUAAAAGGUACUCCGCCUGAGGACACCAAGGAAUUACCUUAUUUUCAAAGUAAUUUUCUAACGAGGACGCAAGUUGGAAAACGUCGAUAGGUAGUACCGCAUAUGCUGGAGCAGUAUGGCGGGUGACUGACGAGGAGUAAUUCUCUGUGUCAUCCGCAUAUAAGUGAAGCUGCAUGUGAAAGUUGUCUGGCACUGGCAAUGGAGGUUUGAAGUUUAUGAAGCAUUACAUCCCUAUACAUAUGAAAUUUA